AUUGAACGCUGGCGGCAGGCCUAACACAUGCAAGUCGAACGCGUGGCGGACGGGUGAGUAAUGUCUGGGAAACUGCCUGAUGGAGGGGGAUAACUACUGGAAACGGUAGCUAAUCCCGCAUACCAUCGGAUGUGCCCAGAUGGGAUUGGCUAGUAGGGGGGGUAAAGGCUCACCUGGGCGACGAUCCCUAGCUGGUCUGAGAGGAUGACCAGCAAAACGGGAACGGAGAAACGGUCCAGACGCGGACGGGAGGCAGCAGGGGGAAAUAUUGGACAAGGGGCGCAAGGGUGUUGCAGCCAUGCCGGGUGUAUGAGGAGGGCCUACGGUUGGUAAAGUACUUUCAGCGGGGAGGCGUUACCCGCAGAAGAAGCACCGGCUAACUCCGUGCCAGCAGCCGCGGUAAUUC
rnacentral:rRNA from 1 species